rnacentral:rRNA from 1 species
AUACGUAGGGGGCGAGCGUUGUCCGGAAUUACUGGGCUUAAAGGGUGCGUAGGCGGGUCUGUAAGUGCUUUGUGAAAUCCCACGGCUCAAGCGUGGAACUGCUUGGUAGACUGCAGAUCUUGAGGUUGGUAGGGGCUGCCGGAACUCUAGGUGUAGCGGUGAAAUGCGUAGAUAUCUAGAGGAACACCAAAGGUGAAGACAGGCAGCUGGGCCAAUCCUGACGCUGAGGCACGAAAGCGUGGGGAGCAAACAGGAUUAGAAACCCCAGUAGUCC